AACCUUUGCUGUCUUGGGACGGAUCACCACUGCAAGAGGGGAAGUUGCUACUGUGAUGAAUUCUGCCAUGUGGCACCAGACUGCCACCCAGACCACAGUGUCCUCUGCAACCCUGCUUCUCAGAUGACCAAGAUGGUGCUGCAGAUGGUGCUGAGGAUGGAGAACCCACCAAGCCCCGCUAGGAGCCACCUAGACUGGAUGCAGAGCAUGGUGAAAAUGGAGGUUUCCUCCUCCUGCGGCUGAGUGUGGCUUCCCCGGAAGACCUCACUGACCCCAGAGUGGCAGAAAGGCUGAUGCAGCAGCUCCACCGGGAACUCCACGCCCACGCGCCUCACUUCCAGGUCUCCUUACUGCGUGUCAGGAGAGGCUAACGGACAUCAGCUGCAGCCAGGCAUGUCCCGUAUGCCAAAAGAGGGUGCUGCCCCUAGCCUGGGCCCCCACCGACAGACUGCAGCUGCGUUACUGUGCUGAGAGGUACCCAGAAGGUUCCCAUGAAGGGCAGCAUGUCCAAGCCCCUAACCCCAGAUGUGGCAACAGGACCCUCGCUCACAUCCACCGGAGUGUAUGUAUGGGGAGGGGCUUCACCUGUUCCCAGAGGUGUCCUUGGACUCACCUUGGCACAUGUUCUGUGUUUCAGUAAAGAGAGACCUGAUCACCCAUCUGUGUGCUUCCAUCCUGCAUUAAAAUUCACUCAGUGUGGCCCA
rnacentral:sRNA from 1 species